rnacentral:rRNA from 1 species
UACGAAGGGGGCUAGCGUUGUUCGGAAUUACUGGGCGUAAAGGGCGCGUAGGCGGUGUGUCAAGUCAGGCGUGAAAGCCCCGGGCUCAACCUGGGAACCGCGCUUGAGACUGGCACGCUCGAGUUCGGGAGAGGAUGGUGGAAUUCCCAGUGUAGAGGUGAAAUUCGUAGAUAUCUGGAGGAACACCGGUGGCGAAGGCGGCGUCCUGGACCAACACUGACACUGAGGAGCGAAAGCCAGGGGAGCAAACGGG